rnacentral:rRNA from 1 species
AUUGAACGCUGGCGGCAUGCUUUACACAUGCAAGUCGAACGGUAACAGGCCGCAAGGUGCUGACGAGUGGCGAACGGGUGAGUAAUGCAUCGGAACGUGCCCAGUCGUGGGGGAUAACGCAGCGAAAGCUGUGCUAAUACCGCAUACGAUCUAUGGAUGAAAGCGGGGGACCGUAAGGCCUCGCGCGAUUGGAGCGGCCGAUGUCAGAUUAGGUAGUUGGUGGGGUAAAGGCCCACCAAGCCAACGACCUGUAGCUGGUCUGAGAGGACGACCAGCCACACUGGGACUGAGACACGGCCCAGACUCCUACGGGAGGCAGCAGUGGGGAAUUUUGGACAAUGGGCGCAAGCCUGAUCCAGCAAUGCCGCGUGCAGGAAGAAGGCCUUCGGGUUGUAAACUGCUUUCGUACGGAACGAAAAGGUCUGGGUUAAUACCCUGGGCCGAUGACGGUACCGUAAGAAUAAGCACCGGCUAACUACGUGCCAGCAGCCGCCGUAA